rnacentral:rRNA from 1 species
AGAACGCUCAUAGUCGGAUUUCGGGGCGGGUCGACCGGUCUGCCGAUGGGUACGCACUGGCCGACGCGUCCUUCCUUCCGGAGACCGUCUCACUCUUAACUGAGCGGAGGCGGGAGACGGAACGUUUACUUUGAAAAAAUCAGAGUGUUUCAAGCAGGCAGCUCGCUCUUGCAUGGAUUAGCAUGGGAUAAUGAAAUAGGACUUUGGUGCUAUUUUGUUGGUUUCGAACACCGAAGUAAUGAUGAGCAGGGACAGUCAGGGGCACUCGUAUUCCGCCGAGAGAGGUGAAAUUCUCAGACCAGCGGAAGACGAACUACUGCGAAAGCAUUUGCCAGGGAUGUCUUCACUGAUCAAGAACGAAAGUUAGGGGAUCGAAGACGAUCAGAUACCGUCGUAGUCUUAACCAUAAACCAUGCCGACUAGGGAUUGGAGGAUGUUCACUUAUUGACUCCUUCAGCACCUUACGGGAAACUAAAGUCUUUGGGUUCCGGGGGGAGUAUGGUCGCAAGGCUGAAACUUAAAGGAAUUGACGGAAGGGCACCACCAGGUGUGGAGCCUGCGGCUUAAUUUGACUCCACACGGGAAAACUUACCAGGUCCGGACAUAGUAAGGAUUGACAGAUUGAUAGCUCUUUCUUGAUUC